rnacentral:rRNA from 1 species
CAGCACCUCAAGUGGUCAGGAUGACUAUUGGGCCUAAAGCAUCCGUAGCCGGCGCUGUAAGUUUUCGGUUAAAUCUGUACGCUCAACGUACAGGCUGCCGGGAAUACUGCAGCGCUAGGGAGUGGGAGAGGUAGACGGUACUCGGUAGGAAGGGGUAAAAUCCUUUGAUCUAUUGAUGACCACCUGUGGCGAAGGCGGUCUACCAGAACACGUCCGACGGUGAGGGAUGAAAGCUGGGGGAGCAAACCGGAUUAGAUACCCGAGUAGUCC